rnacentral:rRNA from 1 species
GAUGAACGCUGGCGGCGUGCCUAAUACAUGCAAGUCGAGCGAACAGAUAAGGAGCUUGCUCCUUUGACGUUAGCGGCGGACGGGUGAGUAACACGUGGGUAACCUACCUAUAAGACUGGGAUAACUUCGGGAAACCGGAGCUAAUACCGGAUAACAUUUGGAACCGCAUGGUUCUAAAGUGAAAGAUGGUUUUGCUAUCACUUAUAGAUGGACCCGCGCCGUAUUAGCUAGUUGGUAAGGUAACGGCUUACCAAGGCAACGAUACGUAGCCGACCUGAGAGGGUGAUCGGCCACACUGGAACUGAGACACGGUCCAGACUCCUACGGGAGGCAGCAGUAGGGAAUCUUCCGCAAUGGGCGAAAGACUGACGGAGCAACGCCGCGGGAGUGAUGAAGGGUUUCGGCUCGUAAAACUCUGUUAUUAGGGAAGAACAAACGUGUAAGUAACUGUGCACGUCUUGACGGUACCUAAUCAGAAAGCCACGGCUAACUACGUG